AAGAUCAGCCAGACGUGGGCUGAGAGUGAAGAGUAUAGGGGCCCUGCUCUGGUUCAGUGGAGGGAACAGUGCAAGGGUCCAGCCCUCAGCUGGAAAGAAUGGUCCCUCUCAAGGAGUGGGCACUGCUCUCCUUUGUUUGACCAUCCCGCAGAGAAAGCGUGAGGGAGCCACAGCCAGCUGGUGUGGUCUCAGGAAAGGCACAGACCUCACAGGCGGACAGACUGGGUUGAAACCUCAGUUCUGUGUUGUCUCGAGUGUGCCUUGGAAAGAAGGUGUACAGUUUUCAUCAGAUUCUCAAAGUUGUCUUAAUCUUCAGCAUGUUAAGAAUCACUGUCUUGGAGAUAAGCUAUAUCGUCCACCUCAUUUCACCAGUCGAGAAACUGCCCACCGCCUCCCAAACCUGAAUGAUUAAGCAACUUGCCUGACAUUCUCCAUGAGUGUAAGGCAGAUCCCAGGCAUGGCCAAAAGUCGGUAGACUUUCAGGAACAUAGGAAUUAGAACCAUCCCCACCAACACCAGUAUCCUCUGGACCUUUCAGGCCAACGAUAGACACUAAAUUUAGUUUUUAAAAAUAUUGGUUUUCACCAUAACUUGUAAGUGGCUCACUGACAUUGUUGAGGAGGCAGGAUUGCAUCAGAGAAACACUGCAUUACUCGGGUUUACCAUCACCCACUUGGCCCUGAUUUAGGACAGAGGCUGCGUAUGUGCACGAAUAAACACUCCCUUCCUCCUGUACUGCAUCCUGCUCACGAGUUUGGUGCCUGUGGCAAGUGUUUGGUCUCCUUUAAUGAAGCCCUGGAGUUGGGGAGAUGCUGUCUCCUUUUGUUUCGUGGAGGAGUGCUGCCAUAUCUAGCCCUGAGAUCUGAAACCUCUACCACAGUUCUCGUCCAACACGGCUUUCAGGUGCGGGGCGUUUGCACAACAGUCUCUUGGACGAUAAUGGAGAAGAUAGAAUUUCACAGAUCAGAAGGAAGUGGCAUGAGUGGAAACCUGCAGAGGUUGAGUUUCCAUGCUCUUCCGCCCUCACCUCAUCUCCACCCCUCUCCGGGUCUGUCCGUGGGAUGCUUGUCCGCACACGUAACUACAAACUGCAAAGUCUGUAAGUAUUUGUUGUCAGCGAUCCACCAAUUAACAUGUAUUCUCCAUAUACAGUGUGUAAACUGCUUUGUCUUUAGCUAAGUGAGAGUAAAUAAAGUUGGAUUUAAAGGUUAAACUCUGUCAGCAGUUGCGUGCCCUUGAUUCUCUUUUCUGGCAAACCUGGGAAAAAUUGCCCAAUUCAUCCAUCUCGCUCUCCAAACAACGUGUUUAAUUAUCACUAACUCUAGGAGUUGAUGAAGUCCUUUCAUUCCAACA
rnacentral:lncRNA from 1 species